UCCCCGGAGGACUAGUGGUUAAGCCUCGGCGCUCUUGCCUCUGCGGCCCAGGUUUGAAUCCAGACCAGGGAA